rnacentral:lncRNA from 1 species
GUAAUCUUCUUUUGCGGUGUCUCUGUCGAGAUUCGAUGAAUUGUGGAUUUAUGAUUAGAUUAUCUAUGAAUCUUAUUUGAGUUUCUUCUGAUCUCUCUUAUGCAUGAUUUCAUAUCCUUGUAAUUCUCUUCGAGUUAUGGGUUUUGUUUGGCCAACAAGAUCUAUGAUUCUUGCAAUGGGAGAAGUGCUUGGUUUUGGGUUCAUACUGUGCGAUGACCUCACCCAGUGACAAAAGGGGUAGCGAGGCACGCAUCAUGUUGUUGCCAUCAAGGGUAAGAAGAUAGGGUUUUCAUCAUUGGUU